GAUGAACGCUGGCGGCGUGCCUAAUACAUGCAAGUCGAGCGAACGGACGAGAAGCUUGCUUCUCUGAUGUUAGCGGCGGACGGGUGAGUAACACGUGGAUAACCUUCCUAUAAGACUGGGAUAACUUCGGGAAACCGGAGCUAAUACCGGAUAAUAUUUUGAACCGCAUGGUUCAAAAGUGAAAGACGGUCUUGCUGUCACUUAUAGAUGUAUCCGCGCUGCAUUAGCUAGUUGGUAAGGUAACGGCUUACCAAGGCAACGAUGCAUAGCCGACCUGAGAGGGUGAUCGGCCACACUGGAACUGAGACACGGUCCAGACUCCUACGGGAGGCAGCAGUAGGGAAUCUUCCGCAAUGGGCGAAAGCCUGACGGAGCAACGCCGCGUGAGUGAUGAAGGUCUUCGGAUCGUAAAACUCUGUUAUUAGGGAAGAACAUAUGUGUAAGUAACUGUGCACAUCUUGACGGUACCUAAUCAGAAAGCCACGGCUAACUACGUG
rnacentral:rRNA from 1 species